rnacentral:lncRNA from 1 species
GCUUUGAGUGAGAAGGUCGAGAAGGUCGAGAAGGGUAAUGGCUAUGUGAUUGGCUAACGCUGUAUCACGUGCACUAUUUUGUGAGUGAUAAAUUGCCUCUGAUAAAUUGUUGUUGUUCUUCAGUUGUGCUUGCUAAAAAUAUCAUGCUUUGAGGGUAAAAAUGUAAAAUAGCUCAGUUAAAUUUGCUCAGUUAUCAUAAUAGACGGGUUCGACGACUUUUUCAAGAAUGUCAUGGACCAAACGAGGGACUGGUUCGUGCUCAAAUUGCGGCCAAGAGUAUUCCACUAGAUGGAAGUCCGUGAACUGUAGUAUUAAAAUGUGGUAGCGACAUCGGUGGGACGCGAGAAGUGAAAGCGAAGAGGUCGCGUCUGAAUCAGCCGCAGCAGUACUGAUUUCUCUGUAAACACAAGUACACGCGAUGACCGUUGCCUUGUGGUUCAGGAAGGAUCUACAUUUUUGUGUUCACAUCAACAAUGUAACACGAACAGAGCAGUGUUUGUGUCAUCUAAAUAUAUGCCAGACAAGUUUAGUUGUGCCCACACUAAAAAGUGCAUGUUCGCAUAGUGUCGUCGCAAAUUUUAUGUCUGGACUGUCGAGUCGAAUUAUUUUUCAAGGUAAGAUGAAAGUUUGAUCACAAAUAACAAUGUGUUCUGGUCGAUACGCGUUGAAACUUGAAGCGAAUGAAUUAACUGUAUUUAAAUUAUUAAAUUUUUAGGUGCAUACAAGUCUUCAUAUAAACAAGUGCAGCUCGUCGAUGGUCAGUUUGUAAAAAAUCUGAUUGAACUUGAACAUAGCUUAAUAGAACAUCGUACUUCAAGGUAUAAAUAAUCACAGUGAUAGUUUAUUAUUAAUAUUGUUAUUAUGGGAAUAUCAAUUGAGCAGUAUCGUGCCCGCAUUGGAACACACAAUUGUAUACAGUACGAAUGAAAAAUUAUAAACUCAUUGACUUGUCAAAGAUAUUGCUAUAGCAACCCAGUGUGGAAACUUUAUACCAGCAGUUAAUACAUGUAAUAACAUGUCAACCGACUUUUGUAAACGAUAUAAUGGUCUGUAAGAAUAUAUCUCUGAGAUAUGUCCAUUGUUAGCAUAAUAUAUAGGAAAUAAUCCUACCGGCCUACAUUUUAUAUAUUCACCUGGCUGUGUCACUAUACAGUUCAAGGUAUACUAUAUUCUUGGUAACGCUUACAAUUUCUUGUAUUAUAUAGUUUUGCAGUUCUGACUGAGUACAAUCUUAAUCAUUACAAGUGAAUGGUGUCGCCGCCAUGCAGAAGCUGACGAAUGAAAUAAAACUGUCAACAAUUAGAUUUUGUCUCCCCAUCAGGUGUGAGCAGAUUGUUCAGUGGUUUUGCAAUAGGGGUAGCCUUGAAGGUGCCAUUAAAACGAUAAUUGGGACAAAAACUGACUUAAUAUUUCUAUUUAUUAUUCAUUGCACUGUGUUCUCGGUUUUUUAUUGGCUAAGAGCCUACAAAAUUUUUUGGGUAUUUGUAGGUGCCUGUGCUAUUUCCAGCGGAAACAAUAAUCUGCAGAGGUUAUUGGACGGCGCCCGAGAUAUUUCAGCGGUAUGUUAUGUGAAAAUACAAAUUGGUGGGAAAUUUUCGGUUGAAUUUACGAAAAGUUAAUCAAUUCAAUGAAUAUUAUUUUAUUUAUUUUCAAUUGUUGCUUGUUUUCUUUCUGUCACAAAAUGAAUAAUAAAACAAUUAUUGAAUUCUGCUUGCGCAGGAUACCAGAAUUAUUCAGACCUUGGUCAAUGUUAUCUGCCGAAUUCCUGCUGGAUAUCCUGCUCAGCCCCAUCCAAUAAUUGUUAAAUAUACGAAACUGUUAUAAUUAAAUUCUACAUGUCCAAUGAUUCAUUCAAGUAUUAUCAUUUAUAUAUAAUAUGAUUUUGUCUGAUAUUCAGUGGCAAGCUUGCCAUGGCAACUGGUCAUGCCACGCCAAUAAACCUGCAUCUAUUUGACUAAUGCAAAUUAUUAAAAACUUGCAUAGCAUGAUCUGUUGCAAUGACUUCACCACUGACAGUGUUAUAAAUGUACAUACAAAAGCAAGAAGUUAUAAGGGGGGGGGGGUGAAUAGGUUGUUGGAUUCCACCAAUCUUAUUAAUACAGCGGAUUGCGGAUUUAUGUAAUAUUUUGGCUGAGAUUGGGGAUUUUGCUUGCAAUUCAGUUCGAAUUUGCAAGGUGUUUGAUAUUCAAAUUGCACUUUUCCUACAUACUGAACAGGUGUCUUAGGGGCUGUUUACAUGAUGGAAGGUGGGAUAUGAGGCGCCGGAUGUAAAAAAAUUAUUUGUGAAAUUUCAUGUUGUUUUUUUCAUGGUUUGUAAAGAAUCUCAUGG